rnacentral:rRNA from 1 species
UACGAAGGGGGCGAGCGUUGUUCGGAAUCACUGGGCGUAAAGGGUGCGUAGGCGGGGCUUUAAGUCAGGGGGGAAAUCCUGGAGCUCAACUCCAGAACUGCCUUUGAUACUGAAGAUCUUGAGUUCGGGAGAGGUGAGUGGAACUGCGAGUGUAGAGGUGAAAUUCGUAGAUAUUCGCAAGAACACCAGUGGCGAAGGCGGCUCACUGGCCCGAUACUGACGCUGAGGCACGAAAGCGUGGGGAGCAAACAGG